CCGGGGGCAGUGGGGAGCGUGCGGUGCCUUGCAACACGCGUGGCCGUUGUUUCUGGCCACGAGUGCCUUGUGCCUCCGAUUACCACGGUUGGCUACGUACGGUGCAAAAUAAGUUAACUGUGCAGGGUGGUCCAGAUGUCUUGUGAUCCCCAUUUAAUUCACUAAAAAAAAUUUAAGUCAACUUUCUUUCAAACGGAAAUACAUAUGCAAAGGAAAAAACAAUUAGGGGAAAUCUUGAAUUAAAGCUGUCGUGACUGCAGGAAUUAAUAUUCUUUGGGGCUUUCGGUAAAGUCACGUGGAUAGGUUAAAAGAAAAUAACCAAAAACUACGUUUCGAUCGCAACACAAGCGUUCGUCGCCACACAAGCGAUCGAAACGUCGAUCGCUUGUGUUGCGACAAUCCAAAUUUCCUUUGCUUUUUUGAGCCACCCUGUAAUUGUACAACUUGACCUAAGUAAAUUUUUGACCUAAGUAAAUUUUUUACUUACCAUUUUGAGGUUCGGUUCUAGGAGUAAUGGCUUCCAUCUGACGAUAGCCAUUUUGAGCAUAACUUCUCGUUGGCUUCGUGAAAUGUGAUUUGCCAGCAAUGGAAAAGUCUCUCUCUCCUUGACUCGCCUUCCCUUCAGCCACAUCCCAAUCACGUGGUCCCCCGCUUGCUCACCCCUGGUGCCGCUCUCCCCUUGCUCCCCCUCAAGCGUGCCGCCACCCUUCCACCGCGCACGACUUGCGGUGUAAGCCGCCCUGCCCACGCCUCAGUCCAAGUUUUCACCGCUGGUGUUUUCACUGGGUUCAGUUCCCGUAAAAAAUCCACCCACGCUGUGUUAAACAGUCCCUCGUCGUCGUUGUCGUCAUAGUGCGGUGCUCAUCUUAGGUGAAACCACGCCGUGCAGGGUCACACCAAUUGGCUCCACAGACUUUGGAAGAAUGGGGACCCUGGCCUUCGUUGUAGUGCUUCUUGGUGCCCUGUCCACAGGGAAAAGCAUCGAGUCGGAAAUCAUCGCCACCACCGUGGGCUCCUCCGUCAUGAUGCCCUGUGGCUCCACCAUUGACAGGCGGCGCGGCAGCUCAACGAGGGCCCUCCCACACCAAACCCACCGAUGGGACACCCCGGCGGGCAGUGACUUACCCCCCAAAUUGAGACGCACUGUGCGACGUGGGCAAAAAGAAGGGAGGGAAGGAGGGGGGGUGACAAU